CAAAAAAUAAGAAAUAUAUAUAUAUAUAUAUAUAUAUAUAUAUAUAUAUAUAUAUAAUAUAUAUAUAUAAUAUUAUAUAUAUAUAUAUAUAUAUAUAUAUAUAUUAUAUAUAAUAUAUAUAUAUGUACAUACAUACUACUGAAGUUGGAUAUCUAUCCAAAUAACGACAGGGCAGUGUCUUAGGAACAAAAGGAUGUCAAAGGGACGUUAUCCAUACGCAAAUACUAAAUCCAAGUCCACAAUUAGGAUUAGUAAGUACUUGUUAAGAAGAAUGCAUCAGGCCACACCCCUCCCACUGAAAGCAGCUCAGGAAACAUUGGAGGCGGGGCCAGCGGGCACCACAUGCUUUCACUGAGGCAUCUGAUUGGUCAUUUUAUACCUUGAAUAACUUGCAAUAAAGAAAAAUUAUCUUUAAAUAAAUUUGGAUUAGAAAGAACGUGUAGGAAGGAAGAAGCAGAGCAAGAAAUAAUUAUUCUGACAAAUAAAUUGACUGAGAAAUAACUGUCUAUUUCUCAAUGGAAGUCUGUGGGACUUUGACCUUCUAGCAACUCGCAGGUACUUCCUAUUUAGAACACGAGAGGGGAGGGGUCGCUCAGUUUGACGGUCUAUGCUCCAGACGUAUGAGGGCUUCUGGACUGAAGCUAAGUGCUGAUGUUUAAUGUCCACACGGAUGUUUCCAGGCUCUGACGAAUGUGUGUGCCUUUAGAGAUGCUUCAGAACCAGAUCCACAUCACACCACUUCUGAAGAAGAUCCAGAAGAUCCAGGACGGAUGUGAAGAGAUGCUGGAGACACUCAGAGAGCAUGUGGUCACCAUGGAUCUUCAUGAGUGGCCAUGUUGCUGCUGCCUCUGACUGUCCAUCAUUGGGCAUGUGAUGCUUUGGCCCCGCCUCCUCUGAGGCUCCUCCCAGCAAAAAGAAGUCAAAAAGCAGCAAGGCUCAAGCAAGAGUCAAGGUGUCGAAGAUGAAGAUCCGAUCCAUCCCAGUUUCCUGCUGGCUCCUCCGUGUUCCCAUGGUGAACAUCUCGUCUGGCAGGUUUUCAUUUUUAUAACAAUAAUAAUUACAGGUUAUUAUAUACUCUUUGAGAACAUAAAUAAAUACACAAUGUAACAUAUUUCAGACAGUUACGUUGUUUUGUUCCGGAUAUGCAGCCCAAUGGAGCAGCCUGGCAGGAAGUGACAGUCACCAACUUUCCAAUGAGAUUCUCCGAGAAUAGAUAUUGCUGGAAAAAGGACUGAUGCUGAUGGCAGACGUUAGUAAAUAUCUACAUGUAAGAACUCCUGUCCUCAGCUCCAUCUUAUCUAUAUGACCUCCAUUGGGAUUGGUGUAUCAUCUGCAUCAUAUGAAAGCUCUAUCUCUACUUUGUCUUGAGGUCUAACCACGUUCUGCUGCGCCAUGCUACAGGAAAGAAAACAACAUUUCGCUGAUUUAAGCAAGAAGCCGGGAUAUGGACUCAUAGAAGCAGACGACUGAUGCUGUAAUGACUGAUAUGAGCCAUGCUUGUGUGUUCAAAACAAUCAAACAUUAUCGAACAUUCAGUAAAAACCUCUUACCCGUUUCCCCUUUGAUUCACUAAGACAGGUGUCAAAGUCAAGGCUCAGGGGCCGGAUCCGGCCCUCCGGGUAAAUCUAUCCAGCCCUCAUUUUAUUUUAUUGCUAUUAAUGGCCCGAUGUUAUCUUGCGCUUAUUUCUAACUUGUAUAAUUUUGACAAAUUUUUUUUUUUCAGAGAUCUAAAAUAUUGAAAGUUAUUUAUAACCUGAGGCAUUGUCACUGAUGCUUACACACACAAUCUUAAACGUAAUGUUAACUUUUUUAACCGUUAACACGAUAAUUCCAGUAGAUUUUGAAGGAGAAAAGCAGCUUGUCUGUUUGUUUUAGUAAAUUUUGGUGUUUAGCUAAUAUUUCAGCUUCAUGCUAGCUGUUUUAGCUAAUUUGGGAUUUUUCAAAGUUUUUUAGGCUGUUUUGGAGUGAGACUAAUAUUUACACGCUAGCUGUUUUAGCUCAUUUAAGCUUUUCUCAGUUUUUUGGGCUAUUUUGAAGUUUAGCUAUUUUUCAGUUAAAUGCUAGCCGUUUUGGCUAACUCAGUUUUUUCUUUUAAGGUUUUUCAGGCUAAUUUGGCAUUUAGCUACUAUUUUAGCUGCUUUCAGCUUCAGCAUUUCAGCAAUUAGCUUCAGCAAUUUCUGCUAGCAUCUUCAGCAUCUUCAGCUAUCAGCACUGGCAUCUUCAGCGGGCAAAUUCAGUUUCCAGCAUUCACACUAGCAUUAUCACAGGUAAUGCUAUAUAUCUAGUUCAUAAUUAUUUUAAGAAGUUAUGGUUUCAAUUUUUUUUUUUUUGUUUUAGAGUGUUUAAUAAAUGUUUAUCCUAUUUGACAUAAGGAUGUUUUGGAUUUUGGCCCCUUGUGCCGUUAAGUUUGACACCCCUGCUCUUGGAUGUUCCUAAACUCUACAGCAGUGAUAUAUUUUUGGCCACCAGGUGGCGCAGUUAGCACCUUCUUUGCCUGCAGCUAUGAGUGAAAAAACCCACAAGUAAGUCAGCGCUGCAUGGGCUUUUUAAAUUCUCAAGAGCCUUCACGGUCACUUCCGAUGCUUUUGGCUUUCGUUUUUCAGCUAGCUCAGAUGGAGCGACAGCGGCAAACAGAUAAAGUCUAAAGAGCAGCUCCACGUCUCUCAUUAGGAACGUAGUUUACUGUUUUUCAUUGGAAGAAAGUUU
rnacentral:lncRNA from 1 species